rnacentral:rRNA from 1 species
UACGAAGGGGGCUAGCGUUGCUCGGAAUCACUGGGCGUAAAGGGUGCGUAGGCGGUUCUUUAAGUCAGGGGUGAAAUCCUGGAGCUCAACUCCAGAACUGCCUUUGAUACUGAAGAUCUUGAGUUCGGGAGAGGUGAGUGGAACUGCGAGUGUAGAGGUGAAAUUCGUAGAUAUUCGGAGGAACACCAGUGGCGAAGGCGGCUCACUGGUCCAUUACUGACGCUGAGGUGCGAAAGCGUGGGGAGCAAACAGG